UACGAAGGGAGCUAGCGUUGUUCGGAAUUACUGGGCGUAAAGGGCGCGUAGGCGGGUUUCCAAGUCGGGGGUGAAAUCCUGGAGCUCAACUCCAGAACUGCCUUCGAUACUGGCGAUCUCGAGUACGGGAGAGGUGAGUGGAACUGCGAGUGUAGAGGUGAAAUUCGUAGAUAUUCGCAAGAACACCAGUGGCGAAGGCGGCUCACUGGCCCGAUACUGACGCUGAGGUGCGAAAGCGUGGGGAGCAAACAGG
rnacentral:rRNA from 1 species